rnacentral:lncRNA from 1 species
UCCGGAGAUAAUAAAGAUAAUCAAAUUCUGUUUUAGAUUUUGAGUGGAGUGAAGAAGCCAUUAUAGUUUUACAAAGAUGUUUAUUUUUUUUCAUCUGUGCAUAACUUUUCUACCGAAGACUUGCUUAGAUUUCUACGUGUAGCAAAUUUUCUUAAAGAAAAUCGACGUGGAAAGGUACUUUAAGGAGGUCAUUUUUCGAUUUUCUCAGGAGUUUUCUCAUUAAAUUCAAAAAACCGAAAAAAAAAACGGGAAAAUAUAAGAAAUGUAGGUAUUAGUUAAAAUAUAUUAAUACGGCCUUCUUUUUUUCUAUGCACAACUAUUCUAUUAGCAAUUUUGCUCCAACUUAUAAUGAUAUCAAUUUUACUAAAAUGAUAUUUCCCUAGAGAGAUACUUAAGAGAGAUCAUUUUUUGAUGUUCCCACGAGUUUUCCCAUCAAAUGUGAAAUACCGAGAUAAAACAUGGAAAAACGUAGCAAAACUGGGAAAAUGGGUACAAUAUUAAAUAAAUAUUGCUAAAGAAAAUAUAUAGAGCUUAUUUAAUUAUUUUACUAUAAUAUGGCAUAUAUAUUGUUGACAAAGCAUUACUACCAACUGAGCUCCGCUCAGAAUCGUUUUAUCGUAAGCAAUGGUUUAUCGUUGCUUACAGGUACACAUUAAAUUAUCUAUAACAGUGGCUGAACCCGUCCCUAUUAUCCUAGGACGUCUUUUUUAUGUUACUCACAGGGAAGAGGACUACAAAUAAUGAUAUUUGAAUUAUAUUUUAGUAAAAAAAUAUAAAUAUUUGUAUCUUAUUCCCUGUGAGUAAUGUAAAAAAAAAAAAAAAACAGAAUUUGAUUGUCUUUAUUAUCUCCAUAUUCAAGGGGUUUAUUUUCGUGGGACAGCCUGUAUAUAUAUAUAUAUAUAUAUAUAUUAUAAAGGUACAUGUUAAUUUUGUUUGACCUUAUGAAUUUCACAUAAAAAAAAAAAAAAAAAAAAAGAAGAUUAAUAAAACUAUGAUACACCGUACAAAAUGAUUUAAAUUAAAAUACGCUGCACUAUAGAAUGAGGGGUUACAAAAAUAUUUCUACGAGGACUAUAUAGCCUCCGCAGACUCAUAUCAAACUACGUCCAUUUGUGUUUAUUUUUAAACAACAUAAUAUGUCAUUUACGUAUUGAACUAAUAAUAUUCUAACACUUUUGUUUGUCAAAUAGGAAAAUGUACGAUUUUUAUAAGAUCAUUCGGCCAGUUAUUCUACCUCAGAUAAUGGUGGCUUCGUUUACAAUAAUAAAUCUGUUAUUUGUAAUGACUUUGGUAAUUUGACGAAACUGAUAUUAUACAUUUUAAUGCGUUCAAACAAUAUUCAAGUGGCAUACAGACGUACACAUAUAUACCUAAAUGCAUUUUCUUUUUUGCCUAUUAGAAUUAUUUUAAUGACAUGUUACUGACAUCGACCCAAUCGGUGAAAUUUUGCUCGUUUCCCGUAUUUGUCGCUCAACUGUAUUAUACAUGUUUGGUGUUUGGAAAUCUCAACGACCAGGUAAUUUUUAAUAUAAAUAUUAUUUUUUGCGUAUAAAUUUGUUUAAAUAAAGAUAAUAUUUUAUCCCGUUGCGCGUGAUUGUAUUCGUAUAUUUUUACGGCGACGGUAUGUUACGGCAAUAAACAGUCACAAAACAAUACAAGUUAUUUUGAGUCGAUACGUUAAUAUUAUCAAAUCUAUUCAUACCCGGUCGUAUACAGGUAUCACUAAAUACUGAAUUCGCCUAUACAUUUUUUACCGUUUUUAAACGAAAAUAAACGCUACAUUCACGCAUCACGCUGUACUGUAUUCACACUCUCGUUUAUUAAUUUCUUACGCCGGUACGCAUCCGACACAUAAGUUGCCUAUUCCUUUACGCCUGGGAACACGCAAACUCGUAUUUUUAUUUUUUUCAAUAUUAAUUAUUUUAAUACAUAUCUUCCAAUUGUGUAACUAUAAUUAACGUAAUGUAACUAACAUUUCUCUCGACGAGUAGUAAUUAAUGAAAAAUAGUUAAUUGUAUUUGGACUUUUAAUUAUAUAGGUAAUAGGUAUCAAUACUAAGCAACGGAUUACUUUUAUUGAUAUACUAAUUUAAAAUACCCUCAAGCGUAACCUGUUGCUAAAAUGUAUUUUCUUUAUAUUAAGUUAUGAAAUAUCGAUUAACGACAAAUAAUAAAAAAUUGAUUUGUUAGCAAAAUACGUGCGUAAUACAAAUAAGAAAAUUAAUUUUAUUAGGUUAAAAACUGACAAUGGCGCAAUUAGUUCCUGAACCAUGGAGGGCCUUGAGCCCCACCAUAAUAUUAAUUAAAUACAGUGGUGCAACAAAGGGGGUGUUUUAAAAAAAAAUAGGGGCUUAAGGCGAUCCAAGGAGCUUAGCUCCGUUAGUCUCCCUCAAUUGUGCCACUGAAAACCGAUAUGCUUCGCACUGUAAGUGUGUCACUGUUGUAGGUGAUCAAUUGGCAUAGUAGUUUAAUUUGUAACUAUAAGCAAAAAUAAUAAAUCAAAGAGCAAACAGCGAAGUUCAAUCAAUUGAGUUUUGAUAAACUUAAAUUGAAAAUUGUAUUAAUUCGUAACUAUAAAAUAAAUAAUUUUCCGAGUUUUUGGUUUCAAAUUUUCAAAAAUUGUUAAGAAACUAAACAAAUUGUAUCCACCUAAAACCAAAUAAUUAUUGGUAUCUAUAAAAAUGUUAAUUCAGUUUUGAUUAUACACGUAUAUAUUUUUUUAUAUUUAGAAAAAUAUAAUGAAUUUUGCGCUGUACUCGAGUAAUUGGACACAGAUGGACAAAAAAUUUAAAAAAUUAAUCUUGUUGGCAAUGAAAAUGCACGAUUCCAAUAAACUGAAUAUGAAGCUUUCACCAAAGUUUAUUUUUAAUUUGGAGCUAUUUGCAAAAGUAUGUUUACUUAUUGAAUGUAAUAAUAUGCAUAUCUAAAAAAAAAAUGUUAUUUGAGGAUUUAUAUACAUAAAAAAAAAAGACUGACAUACUUCGCAUGAUGGAUAUAGAGGGAAAUUUAAUGUGUAUUUGUACGCAACAGUUAAUAUAACGAAAAUGAUUCUGAGCGGAGUUCGAUUAUAAUCAGGUACAUGUUUAUAAAAGACCGUAAUAUUUACGAUUUUCAUCAAAAUUUGAUAUUAAAAUUCUUAUAAAAAAAGAAAAGAAUAUUACAUUUAACUAACUUUUUCUUGUUGACCACUAUAAGUACAACUUAUUAUGAACCUCCUAUUAAAUUGUCAAGCAUUUCUGUUUGGUUUAACAAUUUUUUCCACAGAAUACCUACCGAAUAAAAAUUACAUAAAAAACUGCAACUUAAAAUGUUUACAUAAAUAGCUUAAAAAUGGCUCAAAUGUUUUUAAAAUUGUAUUACUUCUAUAAGAGUCAAACAUAAAGUUUUUGUCGAAAUGUUAAGUCUCUGCGAAUAUUUUUCACUGAAUUACAAUAAAAAAAUAAAAUUGAAAGUAUUAAUUUCGUAAAUUUUCCCGUUUUUCCAACAUUUUAUCCCAUUUAUUAUGAAAACUUCUGAAGUACCAUCUCGGGAAAAUUCUAUUUCAGAAAAUUUGAUAUACUUGAUAAUUCGGAGCAAGAUUUCCAAUAGAACUUUGUACAAGGUAUAAAAAAAAAAUAAACAUCAUUGUAAAACCAAUAUAUUGCUCGCUCCGUUCAGAAUCUAAAAAUAGGAUACAAUGACUUCUAUGUUUAUUAAACAUUAUUAAUAUAAGUAUAGUAAUAUUUAAUGUUUUAUAAAUAUAUGUUCAUAAUAUACAAAUAAUAUUAUAACAUUAAUAGUGGCGAUGCCGUCCUUAAAACUUUCUAAUUAUUUGAGAUACGUGAUACGACGUUAAAGCGUUAAAUUAAAAUCACGAUUAGGUAUAAAAGCGUACCACCUACGUGAUGUAAAAAUUAAUUUUAACAUCACGUAUAUCUAUGGUCUGUCUAGCUUUGAACAUGAGGAACUUAAAAUGUUCAACUUGAUUAACAUUGAUUACACAUUAAAUUAUACCUACUAAAUCGUUAAACCGGUUAGUUGACUGCAGACUACUAAUAUGCGGUAAUAUAAAAAAUAUUAUACGACGAAAAUGAUAUUGGAUUAUUACCGAAGACUUAAUCAGGAACACCGUAGUUCAUCAAAUACGUAAUAUUUUAAACUGAAAUGUUGAAAUACAGAUUUUAAAGUUCAAUUCACAUAAAACAUUAUUAUUGAUAUUUGUAUCACUUCUUCAUAAUUAUUUCUACUUCAACUAUCAGGCAUGUAGCCAGGAUUUUUAUUUUAUUUUUUUUUGGGGGGGGGGGUCUAAACGUACAAUUUAUCAUCACCAACUAUCAAUAAUUGUACCGAUUAUCUAAUUUUUUAGUGAAAAGCUUAAAUUUCGGAGGGUCCGGACACCAUGGACCCCCCUGGCUACGUGUCUGAUACUUGUAUUAUUAUUCGGUUUAUUAUACAAUUGUAUAUAUACAAGUAUUUAACUAUAACGAUAAAUGUGUUGUAGAGUAAAUUAUAUAUUUUAACGUUAUGUGUUAUGUAAUAUUAUUGCAAUUUUUUUUUUUAGGUGAUACACGCGUGUUAUUCAAUUUUUUCAGUGUUGCUGAAUUAUCAAGUAAAAUUACGGAAAUAAUAUUUAUAAAAUUAGUUAUUUAAUACUA